AGCCAGAGACGGUGCACCCGUACCGCAAACCGACACAGGUAGUCGAGGAGAGUAUCCUCAGGUGAGCGAGAGAACUCUCGUUAAGGAACUCGGCAAAAUGGCCCCGUAACUUCGGGAGAAGGGGCGCUGGUCGCAAGAUCAGCCGCAGUGAAAAGGCCCAAGCAACUGUUUAUCAAAAACACAGGCAUCUGCAAAAUCGUAAGAUGAAGUAUAGGUGCUGACACCUGCCCGGUGCUGGAAGGUUAAGAGGAGAGCUUAGCGCAAGCGAAGGUUUGAAUUGAAGCCCCAGUAAACGGCGGCCGUAACUAUAACGGUCCUAAGGUAGCGAAAUUCCUUGUCGGGUAAGUUCCGACCUGCACGAAAGGUGUAAUGAUUUGGGCACUGUCUCAACGAGAGACUCGGUGAAAUUAUAAUACCCGUGAAGAUGCGGGUUACCCGCGACAGGACGGAAAGACCCCAUGGAGCUUUACUGCAGUUUAAUAUUGGGUAUCUGUCAAGCAUGUACAGGAUAGGUAGGAGCCGGAGAAGAUAGGACGCCAGUCUUAUCUGAGGCGCUGUUGGGAUACUACCCUUGCUUGACGGAUGCUCUAACUCAGG
rnacentral:rRNA from 1 species